UAAUUUAAAGUCUGACCUGCCCUAUGAUAUUUAUUAAAUGGCCGCGAUACUUUGAUCGUGCAAAGGUAGCAUAAUAAUUAGUUUUUUAAUUGAGAACUGGUAUGAAUGGUUGGACGAGGAAAAGGCUGUCUCAAUUUAAUUUAAUUAGAAUUUUAUUUUUAAGUAAAAAAGCUUAAAUGUUUUUAAAAGACGAGAAGACCCUAUAGAGUUUUAUAUAAAAUUAGUUUUUGGCGUAAAAGAAUUUAAAGUUAAAAAAUUAAUUUUGUAUUUGGUUGGGGUGACUAAAAAAUUUAAUGAACUUUUUUUAAAAUAAACCAUUGAUUUAUGAAUAAGUGAUCCAUUGAUAAUGAUUAAAAGAUUAAAUUACCUUAGGGAUAACAGCGUUAUUUUUUUUGAGAGUUCUUAUCGAAAAAAAAGUUUGCA
rnacentral:rRNA from 1 species